UCACCUUGUGCAUGGGAACAACUCCUGGAUAAGUCAUAUCCAUCAUUUGACACUGCACAGCACCAGAUGCACCCUAGCCAAAUGAUUGGUAUAAAAAAAAUUAAAGAUAUUAAUAUUUCAGAGAAGUCCAAAAUAUAUGUGAUAAAACCAUUAUUGAAACCUAUCUCAUGCAAAGAUAAAGACUCUGAGAGCUACAAAACUAACGUUCAUUUAUCUCUAAACAUAAAAUCCAGAGAAAAGCAUAUAAACAAGUAACUCACAAUCUCAACGCAAUUGGGGCAAAAAGCAUAUCAAGAACUGAAUGGAAACACCUAUGAAAUCCAAAUUACCUAUAAAACCAAAUAUUAAGAGUCGUGCAGAAAAACUGAUUGACAGCCUAGUGCUAAAUGUUCUGAAGGCCAAAUUAGUAAUCCUAAUAAAAAAACGCAUCAAUAUUUAUAAAUCAUCAUCAACCUAUUUAUCCCUAAAGCAGAGCUGCAAGAUAAGGACAGCACAAACUUUGACUAAAAAAUCCGUCAAAUGAACUUCAUAAGAGGGGACAGUGAUUAGCAUAUCUAGCAAAAGAAAAAAAAAGUUAUUGAACCUAAAUUGUGCUGCCAGGUAUCAAGACCGUGAAACCACCAUAUUCACUUGAGUCAUAUGAACAUUAGCUCCUAAAUUUCUAUGGCACUUGACACCAAAAUGGAAACUCUCUAUCAGACCGUAAGGAGGAAAACAGAAUCUGAAAAUUUUAAUUUCAUCGUCAUUAAAAUGUUUCGCUGCUCGCACUUUUUUGGUUUCAAAAAGGAAUAAAUAAAAAAAAAUAGAGUAAUUCCAUGUGAAUUCAGUUAAAAUAUUUCAUUAACAUCAAGUUAAUUGUACUAUUGAGGGUACUUUUAAUGGAAUCUUACCAGCAAAAACUUUUCACCAUAUCCAAUAAGGUUAUUCUACAAAAACCAGUUGAGGGUUUUGUAAAGAUGAAAAGGCAUCAUUCCAAAAUAAAUUUCUUGGCAUUGACAAUUGCUAUCUAGACAGAAGUUAAAACCAUGUACUGCUAAUGCCUAACUAAUUCUGAGCCAUGAAAAAAAUGCACCUUAAGCCAUCUUUUUAAAAAUUAGGAAAUGCCACAGCAUAAAACAAUAUCAGACAAUCGUCUAAUUCAAUUUUUUUACUUUUCCCACAAAAUUCCAUUUCCACGAUUUGAGUGCAGCGCCCCUGCAACAAUUUGAUUUUUAUGUUUCAACAAUAACAUCUGUACAUUAGAUGGAUAACAUAUAUAAGAUUUCCUCUUUGUUUCAACCGCUACAUUGCCAGUACACAAUAAUCAAGUACGGCAGUAUAUAAACACAAUAAAUUAGGAGGAAAAUGUAACCCAGAAAAUAAUAAUAAUAAUUCUUCAUUUGGUAUAUGGAGAAAUGAAAAUUUGAGCUCAUAGAAAGACGAAUAAGCGUCCAGAAGCAUCCUUUCUAGAAAACAGAAUCCCAUUUUUUAAGCAAGCUAUAUAUAAUUGCUUGGAAACACUUUCUCAUGCAUGCCAAGAAUUCGUUAAACUACACACAAAAUCACAGACAAUGUUCCCUCAAAUUAGAUAAAAAUCCAAAAUUUAACAAGCAACAACAUAAUCCACUGAAAGAACACCGGCAAUAAACCAGAAAAUUUAAAAAGAGGAACCUCUUCAAUGCGAG
rnacentral:misc_RNA from 1 species